AUCCAGCCAACGAGUCCCCAAUAGGACGAAACGCGUGUUCUGGAU
rnacentral:hammerhead_ribozyme from 1 species